rnacentral:lncRNA from 1 species
GGAACUGGAGACCCUGAGGAGCAAAUCUGGUUCUUUUUUGUAAACAUCUAAAAAAAGAAAAAAGAAAAAAAAAAAGUAAAUCACGUACAGGGAAAAAAAAAAAAGAAAAAAUAAAGCAUUGCAGCAGACAAAAGAGAUGCGAGAGGGACCAGAGGACUGUUUCAGCAGUGGUCUUCUGAGUGGAUUACAAAGUUGUUGUGAGUCCCUUUCUGUGCAGCACUCUCCCUGCACGACACAACAGUUUCUGGCCAUUUAAUUACCAGGAAAAUGUUGACAGGGUGAAGGAUUUUAUAGGAAAAAGAAUAAUUACUUGGAGAGGGUUGGAAAGGUAGGGGAAAAUGACCAGAAGUGAAGACCUAGGGAAGAAGGGAGGGAGGCAGAUGUCAAAACCUAGAUCAGGCCACCAGAUCUGGAUCCAGUCUGGAUAGGAACAUCCUCCUUAAAUAUAAUCACUGUUUUCUUUACUGUGGAUGACUGAAGGGGAUCUGUACGCUCUGAAGGGGAUGUACUGUACAGGGGCAGCUGUGGGGCUUGGGAUCGGAGUAUGAAUGGCCUGGCCUGGGGUUGGGAGCCCAGCAGUUGUGCUGCAUGGGCGUUCCAAGCUCCAUGGGGAGUAAGAAUCCUGGCAACAAUGGCACUGGGAGCUGUACAGGCUUCCCAUCUUUAGGACACUAGGUGUUGGUGCUCCAUGAACACACCUCAACCAAUUGCGUUCGUAUCAUUGCAAGAGCUGGACAUGAUGGCCCUUGGGGGUCCCUUCAAACUCAGGGUAUUCUGAUUGCUGAACAGCUACUUACAGCUUUUCACAACCUUCCUGCUUGUUCUUCUUCACUGUGCCUGUUUGAAAGUGUCUUGAAAAUGAAAUUAUUUCCUGGAGGAAUUCUGAAAUUUUUCCUGAAUUCCUUUCUCAGUGUUUACUUGACUGAAAGGAUGCAAUUCCACUGAUUAGUCCAUUUUAAGUCCCUACUUCUGUAUUGAGAGAAAGCAGAAUGUUCUACUUUCUUUCCCUCCACUGUUGGGUAACAAAGGAACCAAAGACCAGACACGAGUUGUUUGAUGCAUGUCCUCUUGUAAUGACACAUCCAUCCAGAUGUUAUUCAUCAAAGUGAACACAUCCAUCGUAUGAGCUGCAUGUCAAGCCAGGCAAUAAACUUCUUGUAUUUCAUGUGAAUGUAGGAGUU